rnacentral:rRNA from 1 species
GACGAACGCUGGCGGCGUGCCUAAUACAUGCAAGUAGAACGCAGUUGCGAACGGGUGAGUAACGCGUAGGUAACUGCCUCAUCGCGGGGGAUAACUAUUGGAAACGAUAGCUAAUACCGCCUACUGUGAGAUGGACCUGCGUUGUAUUAGCUAGUUGGUGAGGUAAAGGCUCACCAAGGCGACGAUACAUAGCCGACCUGAGAGGGUGAUCGGCCACACUGGGACUGAGACACGGCCAGACUCCGACGGGAGGCAGCAGGAGGGAAUCGUCGGCAAAGGGCGGAAAGCUUAACGAACAACGGCGGGUGAGUGAAGAAGGGUUUCGGAUCGUAAAGCUCUGUUGGUAGAGGAGCGGUAACUAACCAGAAAGGGACGGCUAACUACGUGCCAGCAGCCGCGGUAAUUC